GAGCUGUGCCCACGCUCUUGUGACUAACCACAGGCCAGCUGGCACCUGUGUCACAUCACACAGGUACCCUGUCACUUCUGCUGAUUUCUCCUGAUGGGAAGCAGGCCAUGGCCCCUGUCCACACUCAGAACAGGCUGGUCAAACAAAUCAUAUAAGCACCAAUGAGUGAGAAUCGAGGCCCCUUGUUGCCAGCCACACCCAUGUCUAGACUUGCCUCCCAAGCAGCAUGGCCAACUGUCAGACACAAGCUUUGGGGGACACUGCACAUUCACAGUCUCCUGACCUUAUUCCCACGUGAGUGAAUCCUGACCUCCCCAAAGCUCACAUGCCAGAACUACAGUCAGCCUGGUUUAGAAAUAGAGCCUUCACAAGUAUGGGCUGUGUGGGGAGAGGGUACACAUCUUAGUGAAGUGACAGUGUCCCUGGGGAUGAAUACAGACUGACACAGGAAGAAGUCACCAGACCUGGGGCAGAGGUGAGUGAUGCCCACAGGCAGGUAUCCUGAGAGCUCAUUAGGAACUGGAGGAGCAGGGAGAGCACCCUAAAGCCUGAGACAGAGCCCCAGAAGUCACUGAAACAGACACUGGCCGGCUUUAAGCUGGCACAGAUAGGUCUCAUGGGGCAGGACACCAUCUGCUGAGACUGAGUAGGAGACCAGAGGUCAUUCUAGCAUCAAGGACUAUGGCCUCAGAGAUAUCCAAUAAAAAGGCCCUGGAUAGCCAACAGUGCACCUGGGUCUUAGGCUCAGACUCUUUGGACCUUAGAGGAAAGAGGGAAACCUGAUCUUGCCAUUCCAGGCUUAAUUCUGAGCCACCUGGAUGGCCCAAAAGAUGGUCUCCUCAGCUACCCUCUACCUGAUGACAACUUGGGAGACACAGAUGGCAAGUUGUUUGCUUAAGGCCACACUGUAACCUACAUCACCAGAGCUGGUGGGCCGAUAUGCUCUGACACUCAAGUGAAUCACAACCUGCCUGAGGCUACAGGUACAGCGGGUUGUAAAGCUCUCUCAGCAUCCCCAAUACCACUGCAGACACUGGGUAAAGAGGUGGCUUCAUCAUCAGGGAUGAAAUGGGUUUCUCAGAACCUUCUGACUUCCCGUUAGCUAGUAUCCUGGCUAGGACAGCUACAACCAAAGUACAAGCCAGACCAUUGCCCCACCAGGCAGGAGCAAGAUGUGUUCAGAGCACACACUGAGCCAACUUGAAUUCUGGGCUCUGCCAAAUCCCAGGGUCCUGGCCAGUCCCUUUUACUCCCUCAGCCAGAGCAGUUCUGCCAAAGUGCUGAGUGUGCGCUUCUGCCACGUGAGCAGGGAGGUGGGGGGCUGCAGGCCUGGCUCCUGGCCUCCAACAGAGAGGCUCCAAUGGGCCCACGUCUGCAGACCUCAAGCCAGUUUUUGGAUGAGUGGAGCAGUUGGAGCUCCAAAUGGAGAAGCUGCUAGCCUGGUUGGAUAGGGCCUGUUUACUGGCCCAGCCCACUGAGGCUCCCUGUAGAGGGCAGCUGGGAAGAACUGCAACAUUUGCUGGCCUGGGAUGGAGCUUCCACAGUAUGGCCCAUAUGGCAACCAGUCAAGGAAUCAGCCUGUGACCCAGCAGAACUAUAGACCUGCGACACGCCAGCUUCUCCUUGCCUAGCCUGCAGGACCAGCAGUCACCCUGGUGAUACUUGGUGAGCCUGUAAGGAGCCAGAGACAAGCUUGCACCUUCCAUGAGUGAGGCUGGCUUCCACAGUGCACUAUGGCCUUCCUACCUGAGCCCUUUCAAGUCCCUAACCAACCAGGCAGCCUCUCCAUUGAGCAGGGAACAAAAUAAAGGCCGUCUGCUUGGUUCUCAAGAAAUCCAGGUCAUGUGGCAGUGAUUUGUUCUGCUUUGGGCCACUCCAGAGCAAACAAGACAAAGCCCAAGAAGGAGGGGUGUGAAGGGUGGAGUCUCCAGAGAGCCACCCAGAGCCUUCUACUGAGUAAUGAAGCCAUUUCCUCCCCUCCUUUCUAUUCCCUCCCUUUCUCCUACAUACAGAGUUGGAUGGGUACUAGACCCAAUCACAGUCCAAAGGCUGUUCUCUAGGAAUAGGGCUGGGAUCAGGUUUGCGUCCACAGAAAGGCUUAAGUGGUGACUGAGUUAUGGCUUCAUAACUCAGCAUAACUAGGAGGAAGUGCAGCUCCUAGUUGGGGGAACUGCAGCCAAGACAGGACAUGGAGCAGACCUGACUGGCAGGAACCUCUAAGAAUCUGAGCUGGGGUUGCCAGCAUAGUUUUUCCUUUCCCAGGGUUGGGGAGGUUGAGGCUGUGCCCCAGGCUGAAGCAAAUCUCCAGCUGCAGGGAAGGGAGACAGGCUGGCUGCCUCUCUGGAUUGUCUGAGGGGAGCUCACAGUUUUCCUUCAGUAUUCCUAACUGUGCUGCAUAGUUUUAUGUCAAAACAAGCUAGAGCUACCUCAAUUGAGAAAAUGCCUCCACAAGAUCUGGCAGUAAGGCAUUUUCCUGAUUGGGGAGCAUCCAGCCCAUUGUGAGUGAUGCUCUCUGGGCUGGUGGUCCUGGAUGCUAUAAGCAGGCUGAGCAAGCCAGGGGAACAAGCUAAUAAGCAGCACCCUCCAUGACCUCUGCAUCAGCUCCUGCUUCCAGAUUUCUGCCCUGCUUGAAUUCCUGCCUUGACUUCUCUCAGUGAUAGACUGUCACCUGAAAAUGUAAACUGAAAUAAACCUUUUUCCUCCCC
rnacentral:lncRNA from 1 species